GGACAUUUGACUGACACUUAAUAUGAAGAUGGAUCUGUUCUUUGUGCUUUGGGUAUUUUCUACAAAUUUAGGUGAUUGCAAUGGACUGGCUAUACAGCCAAGCAUGACUGAGAGUGUAUUCUCUGAGGGCAGCCUUGUGUCUCUGUCAUGUAAUUACACUGGGACAGCGAACACAGAGUCCUUGCUGUGGUAUCGACAGUACCCAUACUCAGGACCAAAAUUUCUCUACCUCUUCAGUGAGACCAGUUUCAAACAGGAGGCUGACCCUCCAGUCCCUGGGUUGACUGUUGAACUGGACAGUGAGCAGAGCCGUGUGUCUCUGCACCUCUCCUCUGCUCAGCCCUCUGACUCAGCGCUCUACUACUGUGCGCUGCAGCCCACAGUGUUGGGGAAACCUGACACCCUGUACAAAAAGCUCAACGUGGCUGUUAAAACUGUUACUAUAAAUACCUGGCAAAGUUUCAUAAAGUAA